rnacentral:rRNA from 1 species
AGAGUUUGAUUAUGGCUCAGGAUGAACGCUGGCGGCGUGCCUAAUACAUGCAAGUCGUACGGAGCACUUCAGCUUGCUGGAGAGCUCAGUGGCGAACGGGUGAGUAAUACGUAAGUAACCUGCCUGCAAGGACUGGGAUAACACCUGGAAACGGGCGCUAAUACCGGAUAGGUAACAGAGGGGCAUCCCACUGUUAUUAAAGGUUAAAAACACAAGCAGAUGGGCUUACGGUGCAUUAGCUGGUUGGUGAGGUAACGGCCCACCAAGGCGAUGAUGCAUAGCCGGCCUGAGAGGGUGAACGGCCACAUUGGGACUGAGACACGGCCCAGACUCCUACGGGAGGCAGCAGUAGGGAAUUUUCGGCAAUGGGCGCAGGCCUGACCGAGCAACGCCGCGUGAAGUGAAGAAGAAUUUCGGUUCGUAAGGCUCUGUUGUAAGGGAAGAAUAACACGGAGAGAAUCCGUGCAUGACGGUACCUUACCAGAAAGCCACGGCUAACUACGUGCCAGCAGCUGC